rnacentral:rRNA from 1 species
GGUUAAGUGACUAAGCGUACACGGUGGAUGCCUGGGCAGUCAGAGGCGAUGAAGGACGUACUAACUUGCGAUAAGCGCAGAUAAGGCAGUAAGAGCCGUUUGAGUCUGCGAUUUCCGAAUGGGGAAACCCAACUGCAUAAGCAGUUACUGUUAACUGAAUACAUAGGUUAACAGAGCAAACCGGGGGAACUGAAACAUCUAAGUACCCCGAGGAGAAGAAAUCAACCGAGAUUCCGGUAGUAGCGGCGAGCGAACCUGGAUUAGCCCUUAAGCACUCGGUGAAGUAGGUGAACAAGCUGGAAAGCUUGGCGAUACAGGGUGAUAGCCCCGUAACCGACGCUUCAUCGAGCGUGAAAUCGAGUAGGGCGGGACACGUGAUAUCCUGUCUGAAUAUGGGGGGACCAUCCUCCAAGGCUAAAUACUCCUGACUGACCGAUAGUGAACCAGUACCGUGAGGGAAAGGCGAAAAGAACCCCUGUGAGGGGAGUGAAAUAGAACCUGAAACCGUGUACGUACAAGCAGUAGGAGCACCUUCGUGGUGUGACUGCGUACCUUUUGUAUAAUGGGUCAGCGACUUAUAUUCAGUGGCAAGGUUAACCGUAUAGGGGAGCCGUAGCGAAAGCGAGUCUUAACUGGGCGCUCAGUCUCUGGAUAUAGACCCGAAACCGGGUGAUCUAGCCAUGGGCAGGUUGAAGGUUGAGUAACAUCAACUGGAGGACCGAACCGACUAAUGUUGAAAAAUUAGCGGAUGACUUGUGGCUAGGGGUGAAAGGCCAAUCAAACUCGGAGAUAGCUGGUUCUCCCCGAAAGCUAUUUAGGUAGCGCCUCGGACGAAUACUACUGGGGGUAGAGCACUGUUAAGGCUAGGGGGUCAUCCCGACUUACCAACCCUUUGCAAACUCCGAAUACCAGUAAGUACUAUCCGGGAGACACACGGCGGGUGCUAACGUCCGUCGUGGAGAGGGAAACAACCCAGACCGCCAGCUAAGGUCCCAAAGUAUUGCUAAGUGGGAAACGAUGUGGGAAGGCUCAGACAGCUAGGAUGUUGGCUUAGAAGCAGCCAUCAUUUAAAGAAAGCGUAAUAGCUCACUAGUCGAGUCGGCCUGCGCGGAAGAUGUAACGGGGCUAAGCAAUACACCGAAGCUGCGGCAAUGUCUUUUAGACAUUGGGUAGGGGAGCGUUCUGUAAGCCGUUGAAGGUGAAUCGUAAGGUUUGCUGGAGGUAUCAGAAGUGCGAAUGCUGACAUGAGUAACGACAAAGGGGGUGAAAAACCUCCUCGCCGGAAGACCAAGGGUUCCUGUCCAACGUUAAUCGGGGCAGGGUGAGUCGACCCCUAAGGUGAGGCCGAAAGGCGUAAUCGAUGGGAAACGGGUUAAUAUUCCCGUACUUCUGACUAUUGCGAUGGGGGGACGGAGAAGGCUAGGUGGGCCAGGCGACGGUUGUCCUGGUUCAAGUGCGUAGGCUUGAGAGUUAGGUAAAUCCGGCUCUCUUUAAGGCUGAGACACGACGUCGAGCUGCUACGGCAGUGAAGUCAUUGAUGCCAUGCUUCCAGGAAAAGCCUCUAAGCUUCAGAUAGUCAGGAAUCGUACCCCAAACCGACACAGGUGGUCGGGUAGAGAAUACCAAGGCGCUUGAGAGAACUCGGGUGAAGGAACUAGGCAAAAUGGUACCGUAACUUCGGGAGAAGGUACGCUCUUGAUGGUGAAGUCCCUCGCGGAUGGAGCUGACGAGAGUCGCAGAUACCAGGUGGCUGCAACUGUUUAUUAAAAACACAGCACUGUGCAAAAUCGCAAGAUGACGUAUACGGUGUGACGCCUGCCCGGUGCCGGAAGGUUAAUUGAUGGGGUUAGCGCAAGCGAAGCUCUUGAUCGAAGCCCCGGUAAACGGCGGCCGUAACUAUAACGGUCCUAAGGUAGCGAAAUUCCUUGUCGGGUAAGUUCCGACCUGCACGAAUGGCGUAAUGAUGGCCACGCUGUCUCCACCCGAGACUCAGUGAAAUUGAAAUCGCUGUGAAGAUGCAGUGUACCCGCGGCUAGACGGAAAGACCCCGUGAACCUUUACUACAGCUUGGCACUGAACAUUGAACCUACAUGUGUAGGAUAGGUGGGAGGCUAUGAAGACGUGACGCCAGUUGCGUUGGAGCCGUCCUUGAAAUACCACCCUUGUAUGUUUGAUGUUCUAACUUAGACCCAUUAUCUGGGUUGAGGACAGUGCCUGGUGGGUAGUUUGACUGGGGCGGUCUCCUCCCAAAGAGUAACGGAGGAGCACGAAGGUGGGCUAAUCACGGUUGGACAUCGUGAGGUUAGUGCAAUGGCAUAAGCCCGCUUAACUGCGAGAAUGACGGUUCGAGCAGGUGCGAAAGCAGGUCAUAGUGAUCCGGUGGUUCUGUAUGGAAGGGCCAUCGCUCAACGGAUAAAAGGUACUCCGGGGAUAACAGGCUGAUACCGCCCAAGAGUUCAUAUCGACGGCGGUGUUUGGCACCUCGAUGUCGGCUCAUCACAUCCUGGGGCUGAAGUCGGUCCCAAGGGUAUGGCUGUUCGCCAUUUAAAGUGGUACGCGAGCUGGGUUUAGAACGUCGUGAGACAGUUCGGUCCCUAUCUGCCGUGGGCGUUGGAAGAUUGAAGGGGGCUGCUCCUAGUACGAGAGGACCGGAGUGGACGAACCUCUGGUGUUCGGGUUGUGUCGCCAGACGCAUUGCCCGGUAGCUAAGUUCGGAAUUGAUAAGCGCUGAAAGCAUCUAAGCGCGAAGCGAGCCCUGAGAUGAGUCUUCCCUGACAGUUUAACU